UCCGUUACUGAGUCCACUCUACCCCUAAUUCCUGAGAUAAAAAACAAAGAAAUUAAUUCUUUCACAUUACAUUUCAGAGUUUUCAAAGAACUGCUUUUUUCACUUUCCAACCAUGACGAGCGGUAGGUUCCCGUAAUCAGGGUGUGAAUUCAUCAACCUGUUUCACCCAGACAGCUGAUGCUCUGUCUUCCUGGCCUCUGGCAGGAACCUCAGGCAUGUUGAGGAGCUACUUGUGUAACUACAAACCCCCUGCGGGCUGUGUGGAUUCCUGUAUAAACAUCCUGCUGGUUAGCAGGGUGGGGGCUGGGAAAUCAUCCCUCAUCAACACAUUCCUCUCGGCUCUGGAUCCACAAGGAAUGACUUAACCUGUGUCCCGACGAGGAUGAAAUCCCUACAUUCUCACAUAAGAGGAUCACAGAAGCAAGAGUGAGGUCAGAGCCCAUCUGGAUCUCAGUAGAUCAGUGACUCUGAUCUCUGGGCUUUGUCUGAUGGGACUGGUCCCUCCAGUCAGUGUUCACCUCAGUGCUGAGUGAUUGUGAUCAUCUGUGUUCUUGCUGCUUCUCCGUCACCAGUUCUUCAUUGUCUCACUUAGUUACACAGUUUGAAUCCUGACUCAGAUGUUUCCAACUAUCCUGUUAUUCCGGAAAUUAUACUCCAUGGAGACGCAUUCAUAUUUAACAUUGUCAUCAUAGACUUUAUCAGUGACGAUAUAAUGAAAGAGUUUCAGGAGUUACAGACGAUCGUGACACAGAAAUAUGUUCACAGGGUUGUGAUUGGGACCAAGUUUGAAUUAUUAGGGAUACCAGAGAAACACAAUGCAUGGAUUUACGAAUAUGAGCCACUGCAGAGGAAGGACACUUUCUUUGCCUGCUCGUGUGGAUUCCUGCUGAGACAGCAAGGCGGUACCAGGUGAUGGACAGCUGAUGGAUGGCCGGUACCCCGUCAGAGGAGAUAAAAAGUAGGUCUGCGAAGACACAGACAGACACACCACGGGGCACUGAAAGAGCGUUGUGCACUCACAGGAAGGUGGGAGUUUGGAGGAUCGAUCCGGGGGAAUCGAUCAGAGGCUCACAGUGUGUGAAGGUGCGACAGGUGGGGGCUUGUCUGUCUGUCCACCCUUGCCUGGGUGACAAGCCUACCACUGAAGAAUGGUCUUGCCAGGUAUGGGGUCACAGUUGGUGACCUAAACAGGACAGGAAGACCACGGAAGUUUUGACGGCAAAUGGAACACCUCUCUCUCUCUCUCCAAUGGUACACCAGCAACUACCUCGACCUAAACUAAACUGAACUGAACUGAACUCUUCACCAUUGUAAGACUAUUCAUUUACCCCUAGACUUUGAAUGAGCUUGGUUUUGAUUCCUAUUUCCACACGUCUGUAUAUAUCAUUGCUAACCUGUUUCAUAUAUCUGUAUUUUAUAGUACUGUA